rnacentral:rRNA from 1 species
AAUCAACGCUGGCGGCGUGCCUCAGACAUGCAAGUCGAACGCGAAAUUUCCCUUCGGGGAGAAAGUAGAGUGGCGCACGGGUGAGUAACACGUAGGUAAUUUGCCUUUGGGUGGGGAAUAACUCAGGGAAACUUGAGCUAAUACCGCAUAAUGCAGCGGCUCGACAUCGAGACAGUUGUUAAAGCGGGGGAGUUGGAGCAAUCCGACCUCGCGCCUAAAGAGAAGCCUGCGGCAGAUUAGCUAGUUGGUAAGGUAAAUGGCUUACCAAGGCGACGAUCUGUAACCGGCCUGAGAGGGCGGUCGGUCACACUGACACUGACAUACGGGUCAGACUCCUA